rnacentral:rRNA from 1 species
CCUACGGGAGGCUGCAGUGGGGAAUUUUGGACAAUGGGCGCAAGCCUGAUCCAGCUAUUCCGCGUGUGGGAAGACGGCCUUCGGGUUGUAAACCACUUUUGUAGAGAACGAAAAGUCUAUUGAUAAUACCGAUAGAUGAUGACGGUACUCUAAGAAUAAGCACCGGCUAACUACGUGCCAGCAGCCGCGGUAAUACGUAGGGUGCGAGCGUUAAUCGGAAUUACUGGGCGUAAAGGGUGUGCAGGCGGUUUUGCAAGAUGGAUGUGAAAGCCCCGGGCUUAACCUGGGAAAGCCAUACAUGACUGCAAGACUAGAGAGCGUCAGAGGGGGGUGGAAUUCCAAGUGUAGCAGUGAAAUGCGUAGAUAUUUGGAAGAACACCGAUGGCGAAGGCAGCCCCCUGGGACGCAACUGACGCUCAUACACGAAAGCGUGGGGAGCAAACAGGAUUAGAUACCCGGGUAGUC